GAUGAACGCUGGCGGCGUGCCUAAUACAUGCAAGUCGAGCGAACAGACGAGGAGCUUGCUCCUCUGACGUUAGCGGCGGACGGGUGAGUAACACGUGGAUAACCUACCUAUAAGACUGGGAUAACUUCGGGAAACCGGAGCUAAUACCGGAUAAUAUAUUGAACCGCAUGGUUCAAUAGUGAAAGACGGUUUUGCUGUCACCUAUAGAUGGAUCCGCGCCGCAUUAGCUAGUUGGUAAGGUAACGGCUUACCAAGGCGACGAUGCGUAGCCGACCUGAGAGGGUGAUCGGCCACCCUGGAACUGAGACACGGUCCAGACUCCUACGGGAGGCAGCAGUAGGGAAUCUUCCGCAAUGGGCGAAAGCCUGACGGAGCAACGCCGCGUGAGUGAUGAAGGUCUUCGGAUCGUAAAACUCUGUUAUUAGGGAAGAACAAAUGUGUAAGUAACUAUGCACGUCUUGACGGUACCUAAUCAGAAAGCCACGGCUAACUACGUG
rnacentral:rRNA from 1 species